CCGUUUGACCAAAAAAAAAAAAGAAUAAGCGAGAAACUCGAGCUUUUCUCUUCUGUUACUCCAUAAAUUUCAAAAAAUUCCUCCCUACACCCCAACUCGUUCCUUUCCACCCAAGAAAAGAAAAACCCUAAUCCCCUCUGACAGACGCAAAUCACCAUGGCCAGCGAUUCCCAAGACCCCACCCGUCGGAAAGACCGCCGUUCCUCCACUUCCGACGACUCCUUGGAGCCCUCGAAACGCCGCAAGCACGGCCACCGCCGCCACCACCACCGCAGCCGAAAGCACAUAGAGGGCGAGGAAGAAGUCGAAAUGGAAGGCAAGCGUGGGGGAAAAGAGGAGGGUUCUCUUCCUCCGCGCAUCGUAUCGGGACCUCGACUCGCUUACGAUGAUAUGGAGGAAGGAGAGAUCGUCGAAGACGACGACGGUUUUAACGGCGGCGAUGCGGAUGCAGAGAAGAGGAGAGCGGAUUCUGACGUGAAGUCGGGCGAAUUAAGGGCGGGUGAAGCUCGUGGUGGUUCUGACGAUUAUGGCACGGGAGUUCAUAAGUUGGUGAACAACCGAACAAUGGAUGAAUUUGUAGGUAUAACUGAUGGUAGUAACAUCAGUAACGGGGUUGGCUUUCUGGGGAGGCCAAGUUCCGAGAAUUAUGUUAAUGGAGAUGUUGGACGGGAAGUGCUUAUAGAAAGCUUUAGGCCUCUCACAGGAUCUCAGUCCCCUGGUAAAUGUAGUCGCAAGCAAAAGGGCUACUGUGAAGAUGGCAUCGAUUCAAGAUCGAGAGAUUGGAGGAAAUCGUCGUCUUCUGGCAACAAUGGGUACAAACACGAAGACAUGGCAUUCUCUCCUUCCCAUGAUAGAUACCAUGAAAAGAUUCAUAGUAGGAACAGAUCGGAGUCGCAUGAUCGAGCAAGGGAAAGAUCUCGAUCGCGAAGCGUUGUAGAAGAGGCUUCCUCUUGGAAAUCAACUGGUUUGGAUGACGGCAAAAUUGUUGGACGAAGUCGGGAUUACCGACAUGACAAUAGAGAUUUAUUGGGGGAUAACGGUAGGGAACGUAGUUCUAGUUAUAGUAGAUAUGCUAGGGGUCUGGACAGGCACCACAGCAGAGAGGCACAAGACAGAGGGAGGGAGGGGAGUUGGGACACUUGGGACAAAGAUAGAGAGAGAAGGGAGGUGGGCAGGGACAGAAAAAGAGAAGAGGAACAGGACUGGGACAGGGAGAGGGAGAAGUCGAGAGAUAGGGAUAGGGGGAGAGAGAGGGGAAGAGAGAAGGACAAGGAAAGAGAGCAGGAGAGGGAAAGUAGGAGGCAGAGGGAGGAAGAGAGGGAAUGGGAUAGGGAUAGUGGAAGAGAUAGAAUAAGAGGCCGAGAAAGGGAUAAAGAAAGUGGUAGGUUUAGCAGACACCGCAAUUAUGACAAUAAUGUUGACAAUGGAGAUAUUUAUGAUCGUUAUGAGGGUUCGAGACACGAUGAAACCAAUUUCAGGGGGGACAGGACCGGGAAAAACCAUACAACCAAAAUGAAUUCUAUGGGCGAGGACGAAGAUAAACUUGAAAGAGAUGAAGAUGAACAAGAAGAGUACCAGGAGAGGAUUGCAUUGCAACUUGUGGAUCAGGAAGACGAAGAUAUUAACAGAAUUAAGGAGGAGAGUAGAAGAAGAAGGCAGGCUAUUCUUGAAAAAUACAAGAGUCAGCAGUUACAGCAGCAGCAUGAGCCUCAUUUGGAGGAUAAGGAUACGGAGCACGUUGAACAAAGUUCGGAGCAGGCAGCUACCAUUAGUGAAACUAUUGGCAGUAAGACUGAAAGCGUGGAUGCCUCAUUUGUUGGCCCAUCAUCUACUGUUGAGAAAUCUCCUCGACAAAACGAGAUUUCUGCUUUGGGCAGGACUUCUGUUGCUGGGGGACUGGGAGAAGGUACUCCUAAGAAUGAGAAGUCCGAUGAUAUGUUUUGUGAUGACAUUUUUGGAGAGUCGCCUGCUGGAGUCCGUAAAAUAGGAAAAGGAGAUGGUUUAGUAAUUGAAAGAAGUGGUCUUCAUGACAAUUGGGAUGAUGCAGAAGGGUAUUACAGCUACCGGUGUGGGGAAAUACUUGAUGGUCGAUAUGAAGUUACUGCUGCUCAUGGAAAAGGAGUAUUUUCAACAGUAGUUCGUGCAAAAGAUCUCAAGGGUGGGCCUGGCAAUCCAGACGAAGUAGCUAUAAAAAUUAUACGUAAUAACGAACACAUGCAUAAAGCUGGUAAGGAGGAAUUGAUCAUCUUGAAGAAGUUGGUUGUUGCUGACCCAGACAAUAAGCGCCAUUGUGUUCGUUUCCAAUCAUCGUUUAAAUACCGGAAUCAUCUUUGUUUGGUUUUCGAAUCGCUUCAUAUGAAUCUACGUGAAGUCUUAAAGAAGUUUGGCCGUAACAUUGGACUCAAACUAACUGCUGUGAGAACAUAUGCGAAACAACUUUUUGUUGCGCUAAAGCAUCUCAGAAACUGUGGCGUUCUUCACUGUGAUAUAAAGCCAGACAAUAUGCUGGUAAAUGAAGCGAAAAAUGUGCUGAAACUUUGUGAUUUUGGUAAUGCUAUGUUUGCUGGUAAAAAUGAAAUUACACCUUACCUUGUGAGCCGCUUUUAUCGUGCACCUGAGAUAAUUCUAGGUUUGCCAUAUGAUCAUCCAAUGGAUAUUUGGUCAGUUGGUUGCUGUUUAUUUGAGCUCUAUGCUGGAAAAGUUCUUUUUCCAGGUGCUACAAACAAUGACAUGCUUCGGCUUCAUAUGGAAUUAAAAGGUCCCUUUCCAAAGAAGAUGAUUCGAAAGGGAGGUUUCACAGAGCAACAUUUUGACCAAGAUUUGAAUUUUCUUGCCACAGAAGAUGAUCCUGUCACAAAGAAGACUAUAAAGAGGUUGAUCCCUAGCAUCAAGCCAAAAGAUAUAGGUGCAAUAGUUACAAGCUCUCCUGAGCUUUGGGACAGUUCUUGGCAUGGAGGAGUCAGAAGAGAUGAACUUUGGUAUGGAGGCCUCUUGGUGGUCCUUUCAGGGGAAUGUUUACUGUUUCUAUUGAGAUACUUCCAGUGCUAUGAGGCAACCAAUCAGUGCUUUAGAUACUAAACGGCACUCUGGAGAAGGUACCUUGGUUUGUUUAUUAGGGCCUUUAUGUGACACCCUUGAAUCUCCAUACUUGAUCUCUGUUUUGGUGGUUAUAUUUUCUCUUUCCAAUAGUUGUUUUUAGGGGUAGUGACUGAAAAUUCAUACAACAUUUAUCCACUACUUGGUGUGAAAGUUCUCUGGACCACACCUUCAUUUAUGAGAGUAUGCAUGACACAUUAUUGUUAUCCAGUUGUUUGUAAUUUCUAUCGUUAUGGGAAUGUGAAAAGGGUAAUGCUCACAUGCAUCAGCGGAAAAGGGUAAACUUCUCGGAAGUGUAAAUAUGCUGCUUGGAGAUGUAGUUGCAUGCAUGAUUUAUCCGCAUUCAAGUUUAAAUACAUAAAUUUACUUUGUGGUGAUGUGUUACUGUCGUAGUGACGUAUAUAAUCCGUGCUUCUGUAUGUUCAGUUCUUUUGGUUGUGCCUUUGAACAAAUGCCUAUUCUAAUGAGCUUGCAUUACGUCUUAUACAUGGUUUGGUCAUUCUGGAGGAGUUUGCAUUGGAAGUGUGCUGGAGCCUAGAAGUUAAACUGCUUUCCAGGUACAACUUCCAUGCUUCCAGAACUCUUGUAAGUAUCCGUAUUUCUUUCCUUCUCCUGGUGGUUUGAACUUACAUUUCAAUAUCAUCAUAGGUGCAUUAUCAAAGUCGGUGUGGUUUAUAACCAUGCUUUUGUGAUUACAUAUUACACUGUCACAUAGGUGCAUUAUCAAAGUAACCAUGCUUCAGUGAGUAGUUAUUAUACUUCUAGAAAUUCGAGAAUCAUUGAUUGGCCUUUUGCAUUUGUCCAGCUUGUCAUGCAAUUUUUUACUUAUAAAUUUAUCCUUGCAAUGAUGGGAGUGAUCCAAUCUUUGAUUAUGAUUUAGCUGAAUUAAGUUUUAAAAGCAUAUACUCCUACUUCUUUCCUUUUUCUUUUCUUUUUGACUGGAGAAAAUUCGGUGUAAUGCUACUUUACUCAACCUAGUGGUCUGUGGGUAGUGGGGAGGCAGGAGAGCUGCUGUCCCUUUAAGAGGUAGCAGCCUGCUGUCCUGGCCGAUUGGGACUCGUUCCGGUCUCGCUUUGAUGAUCGGUAACAUUCACUUCGUAGAGCUCGUCAAGUAGAAAAAGUGUAUCAAAAAUUAGCUCGAUUGGAUAUCAUUAAGUGCCUGAUCGGAACACAUAUAACUUGCCAAUAAUGGGUUCCAGUGGAUUUGAUCCAAUUCUUUUCAAGAAAAAAAUAUUCCGACAAUGCACUUAAUGAUAUUCGAUCGAGCUAAUUUUUGGUACACUUGUUUUCCUCAACGAGCUCUACGAAGUGAACAUUUCCGAUCAUCGAAAUGAGACCGGAGCAAGUCCCGAUCGGCCGGGACAGCAGGCUGCUGCCCUUUAAAGGGACAGCAGCUCCCCCGCGUCUGGGUAGUGGAUACAUAGUCAUGGCAUGCCAGAAAGAAUGUCUUCGUUUGUCGUAGCACCAUUAUUGGUUGAUAUUGAGAUUCUAAUGAGAGUUUGAAGUACUUUGGUUUGUCGUCAAUCGAACAAUUUGUCGGAUGUGCACUUGAUGUAUCCCUGUGGGGUGUGGUGCCAAGUAAUGCAAUGGUGAUGGGAAGGCACUGGUGGAUGUGUGUUGCAUUAUCCUGUUUACCUUGUCUUAGUUUCAUUGUUUCUGGACAGAGUACCAAGAUUGAUUUGGUGUGUUUCUCCGUGAAGAGGAGAGAAAUCAGAAAGGAAUAAGUUAUUUUUGUGUUAUUCAUUGAAUUUCAGUUGCAAUUGUUUUCCUAUGGUUUUUUUGCACCGUCUUUGACUGCUUUCGGAAUGUAGUGGUGCUGCUAUAAUGUUACUUCAAUUUAGACCACCUUAUAUGCCAGAUGGUUUGGGCAUGAAUUUGGUCUUGUAUCAUAGAGGAGAGAUAAAGGUAAAAGAUAAGCGAAAAAAGGUGAGAAUCUUGGUUAGUAUCCCUUCCCGAUUCUUGUCGAAAAUCCUGCUAUUCUAUGCGUAGUUACAGCUUGCUAAAGGGUGGUGGUUUGUUUGACGAGGCAAAAGGAAAGAGUCAAUAACACUAGUUCUGCCCAAAGUUGGACAGAAGUUAUUCAUGUUUCAUUUUGUGUAGCUCUGUGUAUCAUGGGUCUAAUACUCGUACACCCUUUGCUGAUUUUCAUAGAAGUUUGUAGCUCUAGAUCUAAGAAAAGUUUGUUGCUUUUCUUGUGAGAAGUCCAAUUUGAGGCUUGUGCCAUUUGUGUACUCUCGACAAAUUCAAGAUCCUAAAGUAUUUUGAUGUUAUAAAUGAUAGUGAAGUGCCGAAGAUGUUUUCAGCCU